rnacentral:misc_RNA from 1 species
GUGAUAGGACAAUACCGAGGUGCAAUAUGCUUGCUAACAAAAAUAGGGAAAUGGCAUAACUUAAACCAAAAAAGGUGCAUUACUUCCUGCUGGUGCUUCAAUCAUGGGAUGAUCCUUCUGUCUUGUGGCAUCAAUCACAGUGAUUCACAUGGUUCUGUGCACAAUUAAACUAUCACUAACGUGACACUUCUUUAGGCACAACAUGACUCUUUAUUCUUUAACAGUACAAUAAGAGAAGAAAGGUUAGC